ensembl:lncRNA
GUACCUCGUUCUCUGUUUUGUUUUUCCAACUCUUUUUGAACCAUUCUUAGUCUGGUCCCUCGCCUGAGAUCUCUGUGCCAGGGGAAACCCUCCAGGAGCACCAGGCUCCAGACAACACAGCCCUCAGGUUCAUUGGGACACGCAAACCUCUCCACCGCGAUAAGGAUAAAAGGCUGUGAUCACAAUUAAGAGAAGAAACAGCACAGCGAAUCGCACUCCACACACGAGCAGGGAGGAACCUGCAUGACCAAAAUCACAAGUCAACUCUGUUCAGAGGCAGAAGAGACAGUUUCACUGGUAGAGACCGUCUCUUCUUUUGAGUGACUACUGACGUCAUUCCUGACCGUUGAUUCUGUGAUGCCAGACUCCUUACCAUCAGGUAACGUUGGUGUGUUUGUGGGGGAAGCUGUUGUUGUCUCAAUACACAGAUAAUUAUUGGCUGCAAACACCCACUGUGAUAUGUGCGUCCCAUCGGCUGAGGUGCAGUUAAUGAAGAUGAAGCCUG